AUGCAUAAAUCAAUUAUUAGGAAAGAUGCUUACCUGAAGCGAACCUUAUUGUCGUCUGGGUUCGGGUGUCCUCUCUGCCCCAAUUUCAAGACAGAAAGUGAUGAAGUGAUCCAGAGGCACUUGAGCAACCACAGUGCAAAUGCUGUUAUUUUCCAGGACAAAUUCUGCAUCUGCAGGUGCAACUUAUCCUGCAGGGCUGGAGGCCACUUCCAUUGUCCUUUUUGUGACGGCACUAUUAUGCGUAAAGACGAUAUGGUGUCACAUCUGUAUGUGUGUCCAAAUGAAUGUAAAAUGAUUCAGCCUUCUCUGGUGGACUCUUGUAAGUCACCUUCACCAGAGACCUCGCCCCAUGAAGUGAACCAGAGGCAUUUGAGAAACCACAAUGCAAAUGAGGUUCUUUUCAAGGGUUUUUAUAUGUUGUUUGGAUCAAGUAAUGUGAUCCAACCCACACUGGAGAAAUGUUGUGAGCCAUCUUCAACAGAAACCCAGUCUUUAAAAGAGGAUCUAUCACCAGUGCAUAAAUCAAUUAUUAGGAAAGAUGCAUACCUGAAGCGAACCCUGUUAUCAUCUGGGUUUGGGUGUCCUCUCUGCCCCAAUUUCCAGACAGAAAGUGAUGAAGUGAUCCAGAGGCAUUUGAGGAACCACAAUACAAAUGCUAUUAUUUUCCAGGACAAAUUCUGCAUCUGCCGGUGCAAAUUGUUCUGUCAUUUUGAAGGCCACUUCCAUUGUCCUUUUUGUGGUGGGACAGUAACUAAAAAGAAAGAUAUGACAUUCCAUCUUACCACUUGUCCAAACAAAAGUAACGUGAUCCAACCCACACUGGAGAAUUCUUCUGCAGACCACUCCUACCGGCAAGCAGCAUCACCAAAGACCCUGACACCUGCCACGGAUUUUGAUCAGACAACUGCUACCACCUCAGAAAAACCCACAAUUCAAGAGAGAGAAGUAAUUCUGCCACUGACCAAGGCUGAAAGUGAUGAAGUGAUCCAGAAACUCUUGAGAAACCACAAUGCAAAUGCAGUUCAUUUCCAGGACUUGUCUAGUAGAGUUGGAGGCCACUUCCAUCCUUCUUUUUGUGACAGUACAAUAACUACCAAGGACUUGAUGUUCCAUCUUACCACGUGUCCAGAUAAAAGUAAUGUGAUCCAACCCACACUGGUGGAAUCUUACAAAUUCUGCGUCUGCAGGUGCAACUCAUCUGCAGACCACUUCCAUUGUCCUUUUUGUGACGACACAAUCAUUCGUAAGGAAGAUAUGAUAUUACAUCUGAAUGUGUGUCCAAAUAAAAAUAAGUCAACCCAAUCCACAUUGGUGGAAUCUGCAGACCACUCUUAUGCAAAAGCAGCUUUACCCAAGACCCCCACACCUGUCACAGAUUUUGAUCAGACAACUCCUGCUACUACCUCAGACCAACUCAUGAUUCAGGAGGAGGAAGUGACUGUGCCACUGACCAACGUGCAUGAAUCAGUUAUUAGGAAUGAUACGGACCUGAAGCAAAGCCUGCUAACAUCUGGGUUUGAGUGUCCUCUCUGCCCCGAUUUCAAGACUCAAAGUGAUCGAGUGAUCCAGACGCAUUUGAGCAACCACAUUGCAAAUGGAGUGCAUUUCCAGGAAAACGUAGUCUGCAGGUGCAAUUUGCCUUGUAGAGCUGGAGGCCACUUUCAUUGUCUUUUUUGUGACAAGACACUAAUUAACAAGGACAGUAUGGCAUUACAUCUGAUCAGAUGUCAAAACAAAAGUACAGUGGUCCAAUUCCCACUGGUGGAAGCUUCACCAGAGCCUUUCACGCAGCCUUUAAUAGAUCCUCUGGAACCAUCAGGGAGUGAAGACCACUCGGUGUCCUCACAAACUGCAGAUCAUGCCUACACACAAACUCCCACACUCAUCACAGCUUUAAAUCAGACAACUCCUGCUACCACCUCAGACGCACUCAUGAUUCAAGAGGAGGAAAUAACUCUACCAUUGUCCAAGGCUGAAAGUGAUGAAGUGAUCCAGAAGGUCUUGAGAAACCACAAUGCAAAUGCAGUUCCAUUCCAGGACUUGUCUAGUAGAGUUGGAGGCCACUUCCAUCGUCCUUUUUGUGACAGUACAAUACCUACCAAGGACGUGAUGUUCCAUCUUACCACGUGUCCAGAUAAGAGUAAUGUGAUCCAACCCACACUGGUGGAAUCUUCUGGAGACCAUUCCUACACAAAAACAGCUUCAUGCAAGACCCCCACACCUGCCACAGAUUUUGAUCAGACAACUCCUGCUACUACCUCAGACCAACUCAUGAUUCAGGAGGAGGAAGUGACUGUGCCACUGACCAACGUGCAUAAAUCAGUUAUUAGGGAAGAUACAUACCUGGAGCGAACCCUGUUACCAUCUGGGUUUGGGUGUCCUCUCUGCCCCCAUUUCAAGACGGAAAGUGAUGAAGUGAUCCAGAGCCACUUGAGCAACCACAGUGCAAAUGCUGUUAUUUUUGAGGACAAAUUCUGCGUCUGCAGGUGCAACUCAUCUGCAGACCACUUCCAUUGUCCUUUUUGUGACGACACAAUCUUUCGUAAGGAAGAUAUGAUAUUACAUCUGAAUGUGUGUCCAAAUGAAAAUCAGUCAACCCAAUCCACACUGGUGGAAUCUGCAGACCACUCUUAUGCAAAAGCAGCUUUACCCAAGACCCCCACACCUGUCACAGAUUUUGAUCAGACAACUCCUGCUACUACCUCAGACCAACUCAUGAUUCAGGAGGAGGAAGUGACUGUGCCACUGACCAACGUGCAUGAAUCAGUUAUUAGGAAUGAUACGGACCUGAAGCAAAGCCUGCUAACAUCUGGGUUUGAGUGUCCUCUCUGCCCCAAUUUCAAGACUCAAAGUGAUCGAGUGAUCCAGACGCAUUUGAGCAACCACAUUGCAAAUGGAGUGCAUUUCCAGGAAAACGUAAUCUGCAGGUGCAAUUUGCCUUGUAGAGCUGGAGGCCACUUUCAUUGUCUUUUUUGUGACAAGACACUAACUAACAAGGACAGUAUGGCAUUACAUCUGAUCAGAUGUCAAAACAAAAGUACAGUGGUCCAACCCGCACUGGUGGAACCUCCACCAGAGACGCAGCCUUUAAUAGACCCUCUGGAACCAUCAGGGAGUGAAGACCACUCGGUGUCCUCACAAACUGCAGAUCAUGCUUUCACACAAACUCCCACACUCAUCACAGCUUUUGAUCAGACAACUCCUGCUACUACCUCAGACCAACUCAUGAUUCAGGAGGUUCAGGUGCAUAAAUCAAUUACUUGGAAAGAUACAUACCUGGAGCGAACCCUGUUACCAUCUGGGUUUGGGUGUCCUCUCUGCCCGUAUUUCAACACUGUAAAUGAUGACGUAAUCGAGAGGCAUCUGAGAAACCACAAUGAAAAUGGAGUGCAUUUCCAGGAAAUUAUAGUCUGCAGGUGCAAUUUGUCCUGCAGAGUUAAAAGCCACUUCCAUUGUCCUUUUUGUGACAGCACUAUCAUUCGUAAGGACAAUGUGCCAUUACAUCUUAAAGAGUGUCAUGAAAAUAGUCCUUUGGACCUUCGCAAACUGCUGGUUUCUUGUAAGCCAUCUUUACCAGAGACCCAGCCCUUCAAAGAUAUUCUGGAACCAUCAGUGAACGAAGACCACUAUACGUCCUCACAAACUGCAGACUAUUCUUACUCACAAACAGCACCACUCGAGACCCCCACAUUUGCCACAGAGUUUGACCAGAGAGCUCCUGCUACCUCCACAGACCAACCCAUGAUUGAAGAGGAAGAAGUAACUGUGCCAAAAGCCCAUGUGAAGUGUCCUCACUGCCCACUAGUUUUAUACAGGCAGAAUUUGGCAGUACACAUCAAAAGAAAACAUAGCAAACUUGAAGACAUUGCAGAAAAAUCCCAGUUAAAAAGCUCGUGUACUGACCAAAGCAAAGAUAGUAAAGCAUCUCAUGGUCUGAGUGUGCAGCCUAAGGCAUGGAGUCUACAACAUCACACAAAAUCUGAAAUGAAGGUCUGUUGCCAACAUCACUUGCUUUUUCAACAUAGUGGACUGUCUCACAGCAUGUGUCAUCGCAUUUGUUCUGGUGACUAUCUCAGCAGCAUGGCACCAAUGCCCCUGACUAACACCAAGUUUUCUAUGAAAUGGAGGAAAACUAGGCUACAUUAUGUAAAUAUUGCAAUGCUUUAA
rnacentral:lncRNA from 1 species